GAUCUAAAUAGUUUAGUAAAACACUAAUUUGUGGCAUUAGAGACGGCAUAUUGUUUUGCCUUUAGAUC
rnacentral:tRNA from 1 species